AGGGCUAUGGUGUGUGAUGUCUGUGGGCAUGGGAGGUACGGUAGGGGCUGUGCCGCCGGUGAGAUGGGUUGAGAAGACGCUAGUGGUAAACAUGCUUGGAUCAACGGCUGAGAAAAGCGAUGCACGAGAUCUCACGGUUGAUAUUUUCAAGGCGAGUGCCCAAGCUUGGUGGCAGGAUUCGGUAUGUCGUAGAUAUCAGCCCUGUAGCUGGGGAAGGCAACAAAGGCAUACAGAUAGUUUUAGAAUGGAUUCCUAUGAAUUUAUUUGCUGGAAAAACCCAAAUACUGCUCAUGAAAGCACUUAUGCUCUUGCUCAAUCACUUCAUACACGUGUGGCUCCUUUUGAGCUAUGACAAAUAAUGUAACAGAUAAUCUGAAGUCCUUGGCUAGAGAUCUUAAAGAAGUAUCCUUAAGCAUAUAACAAUAAAGCAUUUGUCUCACUCUGUAAUGGUUAUCGUCACCCCUAGAUCAAUAAUCCAAUAUGCACUGACAGCUCUGAACACCGGAGUGGAGGUUGGGUUGGAGGAGGAAGAUGAGCUGUCGAAGAGGGGGUUCCUCUCCAUGGCAACGGAAGUGCGCGCAUAACAACUGAUGUGAUACAUGUUAUCUCUUCUGACACCUCAGUUGGCUGCACUGCAUGCAUUCAUAAUUAUGAUACGUCCAUGAAUACAUCUUAUAUCCAGAGAGGGAACAUAUACAACUACACGCAGAGGUACCACACAGGCAAUCAUUUUAAUUUGCAUGGAUCAGUUCAUUUCAAUUUGGAUGCAGAGAAGGGAACAUAUAGGCAAUAAAAAGUGAGACAGAAGAAGUUGUAAUUUGUCACUGGCACGGUCGAGCAUGUAUAUAUCUGGUCGAGAGAUUUGUCAUGCAAAUAUCUGGUCAUAGGUUGGCAACCUUGGAAUUGGAAAUGAGCGGCAUUAGGGAAAAACGAGGUGCCACAAGUUACAGAUUGCGAUGUGCACAUCCACAAACAGGCUCCUCUCUCCCUCGGCACAACUCUGACACACACACUUGCACCUGAGAAUGUAUGGCACGAACGGAAGAGCAGAUGACGAACUCCACGGGAGGCAGUGGACGAAGACGUGUACCUUGCAACGGCCGGCGUUGCCUCAAUCCACAAGGAGCAGAG
rnacentral:lncRNA from 1 species